rnacentral:rRNA from 1 species
GUGGGGAAUAUUGGGCAAUGGGCGCAAGCCUGACCCAGCGACGCCGCGUGGGCGAUGAAGGCCUUCGGGUUGUAAAGCCCUGUCAUGCGGAAAGAACGACCCUGUGACGCAUACUCACAGGGAGUGACGGUACCGCAGGAGGAAGCACCGGCUAACUCCGUGCCAGCAGCCGCGGUAAUACGGAGGGUGCAAGCGUUGUUCGGAAUUAUUGGGCGUAAAGGGCGCGUAGGCGGUAAUGUAAGUCAGAUGUGAAAUACUCCGGCUCAACCAGAGAACAGCAUCUGAAACUGCAUAACUAGAGUACAGAAGAGGGAAACGGAAUUCCCGGUGUAGAGGUGAAAUUCGUAGAUAUCGGGAGGAACACCAGUGGCGAAGGCGGUUUCCUGGUCUGAUACUGACGCUGAGGCGCGAAAGCGUGGGGAGCAAACAGGAUUAGAUACCCUUGUAGUCC